rnacentral:lncRNA from 1 species
CAGAUUUAUUAGUCGGUGUUAUUAUCCUUACAGAACGUUCUAUACAGAAAGGGAAAUACUUGUUCGUUAACUUCUUUGUACAUUCUUGACUUGGAAAUAGUUGUUAAGAGUGAUGAAAUGGAGUGAGUCCUAGAGCAACGUCCCUCUACUGCGUCACUCCUUGUGAGCCCUCCUUCCCCUGGAACCCCCCCACACAAGUAGGCCAACACAGAGGAGGGGCCGGCAUCCACACCCACACACACAGUGCGUGCAUAGGCAGACCACACAUGUACAUGCACCACACACACAUACCACAUACACAUCACACAAACUACACACACCACACACACACUACACACAUACACACACACACACCACAUACACACCACGUAUACCCACACCACACAAACACACACACACACACACACACACACACACACACACACACCACAUACACACCACGUAUACCCACACCGCACAAACUACACACACCACAUGUACGCAGCCACACACACUACACUCACACACCACAAACACAUAUACAUCACACACACACACUACACGCCACACACACACACACACACACCACACACUACAUACACUACACAUACCACACACAUACACACCACACACACCACAUACACACACACACACCACAUACACACAUACACACACACACACACUACACACAUACACAUACCACACAUACACACACACACACACACCACACACACCACAUACACACACUACACAUACCACACACACCACACACACCACACACUACAUACACUACACAUACCACACAUACACAUACCACACACACCACACACUACAUACACUACACAUACCACACAUACACAUACCACACAUACACACCACACACACACCACACACACACCACACACACCACACAGACACACCACAUACACACCACGUAUACCCACACCACACAAACUACACACACCACACACACACACCAUACACACAUAUACACCACACACUAAACACACAGCACACAUACACGCACUACACAUACCACAUAU